AUUGAACGCUGGCGGCAUGCCUUACACAUGCAAGUCGAACGGUAACAGGGGCUUCGGCCCGCUGACGAGUGGCGGACGGGUGAGUAAUGCAUCGGAAUGUACCCAGUAGUGGGGGAUAGCCCGGCGAAAGCCGGAUUAAUACCGCGUACGCACUAUGGUGGAAAGUGGGGGACCUUUACGGGCCUCACGCUAUUGGAGCAGCCGAUGUCAGAUUAGCUAGUUGGUGGGGUAAAAGCCUACCAAGGCGACGAUCUGUAACUGGUCUGAGAGGACGACCAGUCACACUGGGACUGAGACACGGCCCAGACUCCUACGGGAGGCAGCAGUGGGGAAUUUUGGACAAUGGGGGAAACCCUGAUCCAGCAAUGCCGCGUGUGUGAAGAAGGCCUUCGGGUUGUAAAGCACUUUUGCCGGGAA
rnacentral:rRNA from 1 species